rnacentral:rRNA from 1 species
UAUACGUGCCAGCCGCCGCGGUACUACGGAGGGGGUUAGCGUUGUUCGGAAUUACUGGGCGUAAAGCGUACGUAGGCGGGUUGUUAAGUUAGAGGUGAAAUCCCAGGGCUCAACCCUGGAACUGCCUUUAAUACUGGCAACCUAGAGUUCGAGAGAGGUGAGUGGAAUUCCGAGUGUAGAGGUGAAAUUCGUAGAUAUUCGGAGGAACACCAGUGGCGAAGGCGGCUCACUGGCUCGAUACUGACGCUGAGGUACGAAAGUGUGGGGAGCAAACAGGAUUAGAUACCCUGGUAGUCCACGCCGUAAACGAUGAUUACUCGGUAUUGGCUUCGGUCAGUGCCCAAGCGAAAGUGAUAAGUAAUCCACCUGGGGAGUACGCCCGCAAGGGUGAAACUCAAAGGAAUUGACGGGGGCCCGCACAAGCGGUGGAGCAUGUGGUUUAAUUCGAUGAUACGCGAGGAACCUUACCAGGGUUUAAAUGCAGAACGACAGGGGUGGAAACACCCCCUUCUUCGGACGGACUGCAAGGUGCUGCAUGGUU